rnacentral:lncRNA from 1 species
GGGCUCAGGAACCUAGCAAAGCACAGAUCCCACUGCCCGAUACCCGUUGUGGGUCCCGCCACCGUCAGAGGUUUACAUGUAUUUGGUGUUUAUGUGAGAUUCAGAUUUAACUUGGCACCUUGAAUUUCACCCAGCAGCCCUAACCCAAGCCCCUCCUUUGGGUGAAGCAACCUCAUCCUCGAGCCCCGAUUCCCUCAUUGGAAUGGGAUUAACAGUGCCUGCCUCAGAGAGGUGACUCGGGACACGACCGUCGGGAAGAACAACAGUAAAAGGACUGGAGAUCACGUGAGGCAUGGUGAUCCUGCUGGAGUGGGUGCUCAGUAAAUACAACUCUGGUACAGUUCCCAGAUCUCUGAAGCCGGGAACAGCCUAACAAGGGGUCCAGCCAGGACUCCUUGUCGGGACCAAGCUGGCUUGUGGACAGAAGGGGUGGAUGGGGUGUCAAGGUCAUUGGCCAAAGGCAGCAGAGGGAUCUAAGGAACAGAGUCCAAAGAACAAUGAGCCUGAGACCCUGUGCCCUUCACUCCUGCCCAUGCCCAGAACACCCCCACCUCCCAUCCUGCGUGAGAGUUCGGGGCUCUGGAUGACUUCCCCCUGUAAACUUGGCACCUGGGGCUAAUUCUGGUCCUGUCCCAGCCCCCUGACUCAGAAACUCAGCAAAGCACAGAUCCUGCUGCCCCAUACCCACUGUGGGUCCCACCACCGUCAGAGGUGGUGACCUUAGAUACCUCCCACCACAGCUUCCUCACCCCAGCGCCCCAGAAGCUCAUCUCCCUUUUCCUGAGAGGCCUGCCCAACCUCUGGCAAUGUCCCGAGAGGCUGCCAGAGGCUGGCACCCCACACCCCUCAGGAGGAAGCCCGCAACCUGCUGCAGAUGCUGAAGGUCACUGGGGCUUGUGGCAGUGGCCGGAGAUCGGCACCGACUCAGAGCCAGGAGUAGCCAGAGGAGGUG